GAUGAACGCUGGCGGCGUGCUUAACACAUGCAAGUCGAACGAAGCACUUUGACCUCUUCGGAGAGAUGAGUGACUGAGUGGCGGACGGGUGAGUAACGCGUGGGUAACCUGCCUCGUACAGGGGGACAACAGUUGGAAACGGCUGCUAAUACCGCAUAACGUCAUAGUACCGCAUGAUACCUUGACCAAAGAUUUAUCGCUGAGAGAUGGGCUCGCGUCCGAUUAGGUAGAUGGUGGGGUAACGGCCUACCAUGCCGACGAUCGGUAGCCGGACUGAGAGGGUGAACGGCCACACUGGAACUGAGACACGGCCCAG
rnacentral:rRNA from 1 species